rnacentral:rRNA from 1 species
UACGUAGGGGGCAAGCGUUGUCCGGAUUUAUUGGGCGUAAAGAGCGUGUAAGCGGCCAAGCAGGUCCGCUGUGAAAACUCGAGGCUCAACCUCGAGACGUCGGUGGAAACCGUUUGGCUAGAGUCCGGAAGAGGAUCGUGGAAUUCCAGGUGUAGUGGUGAAAUACGUAGAUAUCUGGAGGAACACCGGUGGCGAAGGCGGCGAUCUGGCCCAACACUGACACUGAGACCCGAAAGCGUGGGGAUCAAACAGG